AACGAACGCUGGCGGCGCGCUUAACACAUGCAAGUCGAACGAGAAGCUGUAGCGAUACAGUUGUACAGUGGCGAACGGGUGAGGAAUACAUGGGUAACCUACCCUCGAGUGGGGAAUAACCAGCCGAAAGGCUGGCUAAUACCGCGCACGCUUCCCAGUCUGCGGGUUGGGAAGGAAAGCUCUACCGUGGGUAGAGCGCUCAAGGACGGGCUCAUGUCCUAUCAGCUGUUGGUAGGGUAACGGCCUACCAAGGCAACGACGGGUAGCUGGUCUGAGAGGACGAUCAGCCACACUGGCACUGCGACACGGGCCAGACUCCUACGGGAGGCAGCAGUGAGGAAUAUUGCGCAAUGGGCACAGCCUGACGCAGCGACGCCGCGUGGGGGA
rnacentral:rRNA from 1 species